rnacentral:rRNA from 1 species
AUACGUAGGGGACGAGCGUUGUCCGGAAUUACUGGGCGUAAAGGGCGCGCAGGCGGAUAUUUAAGUCAGCUGUAAAAGGCAUGAGCUCAACUCAUGUAUGCGGUUGAAACUGGGUAUUUAGAGUGCUGGAGAGGUAGGCGGAAUUCCCGGUGUAGCGGUGAAAUGCGUAGAUAUCGGGAAGAACACCAGUGGCGAAGGCGGCUUACUGGCCAGCAACUGACGCUGAGGCGCGAAAGCCAGGGGAGCGAACGGGAUUAGAUACCCCGGUAGUCCUGGCAGUAAACGAUGUAUGCUGGGUGUGAGACUAGCGAUAGUUUCGUGCCGAAGUUAACGCGAUAAGCAUACCGCCUGGGGAGUACGGUCGCAAGAUUGAAACUUAAAGGAAUUGACGGGG